UGGGAAGGUCUGAGACUGGGGCCUCCCGCGGCCCUAACCGGGCUCUCCCCGAGCGGGGAGGUGAGUUCCCAGAGAGCAGGGCUCUACGCUUGGGCAGACUGGGCAGGAGAAGCCCCGAGUCGGGGCGGAUGCCUCCCUCGCCGGAGCUUGGAACAGACUCACGGCCAGCAGUGCGAGUUCAAUGGCUGAGGUGAGGCACCUCCCGGGCCUCAUAACCCAAUUCAGACUACUCU
rnacentral:misc_RNA from 1 species